ACAUUGGUGGUUCAGUGGUAGAAUUCUCACCUUCCAUGAAGGAGACCUGGGUUCGAUUCCUGGCCAAGGCA
rnacentral:tRNA from 1 species